GCCCUUCGGGGUACUCGAGCGGCGAACGGGUGAGUAACACGUGAGCAACCUGCCCUAGGCUUUGGGAUAACCCUCGGAAACGGGGGCUAAUACCGAAUAUGACCUCCGAUCGCAUGGUUGGUGGUGGAAAGUUUUUCGGCCUGGGAUGGGCUCGCGGCCUAUCAGCUUGUUGGUGGGGUGAUGGCCUACCAAGGCGACGACGGGUAGCCGGCCUGAGAGGGCGACCGGCCACACUGGGACUGAGACACGGCCCAGACUCCUACGGGAGGCAGCAGUGGGGAAUAUUGCACAAUGGGCGGAAGCCUGAUGCAGCGACGCCGCGUGAGGGAUGACGGCCUUCGGGUUGUAAACCUCUUUCAGCAGGGACGAAGCGUAAGUGACGGUACCUGCAGAAGAAGCGCCGGCCAACUACGUGCCAGCAGCCGCGGUAAGACGUAGGGCGCGAGCGUUGUCCGGAUUUAUUGGGCGUAAAGAGCUCGUAGGCGGCUUGUCGCGUCGACCGUGAAAACUUGGGGCUC
rnacentral:rRNA from 1 species